rnacentral:tRNA from 1 species
CAGAGCAUAGCUAAGAUAGUAAAGCAUCUCCCUUACACUGAGAAGACAUCUGUGCAAAUCAGAUUGCCCUGA